GGAAACACCAUCCUGAUUUCCCAGAAGGGUGGCAGGGACCCAAAUAUUUGAACCAUCUUCCACCAUCUUUCCAUAUGCAUUACAAGGAAGUUGGAUCAGAUGCAGAGCAAUUGGGACUCAAGCCAGUACUCUGAUAUGGACCGUGGGAUGUCAGUAUUGAUGCUGAUACGAUCGUGGGAUGUCAGUACUGGUACUGAUACGGGAUGCCAGCAUUGCAAGUGGUGGCUUAGCCUAUUGCUCCAUGAUGCUGGCCCCAGGAUGGGCAUUUUAGAUUGUCAUUUUACAGAUGGAGACGUAGCACAGAAAAGUAAGAUCAUUCUGCAAGAGUCAGGAAAUUAAACAUUUGGCCUACUUUUGUCAGAGUAUAAAGCUAUAGUUCUUUCUUAUUAUCUAAUGCUACCUUCCUAACAGUAAUGCAGAAAAUCCCAAGGUAAUUCAGGAAAGUAUUUGAAAGGAUCAGUGUCCCAGGGUGUCCAGAACGCUGUGAGUUGUAGUAUUUAGGAGGCUCGUGAUUGCUUUAUCACUGUGGAGACCCUGGCUUCUGUGUUUGUAGAUAUUUCUAAAAUGUUGCACUGCCUAUCCUUGGGAAUAUGUUGUUCCCCUUGAGAUUCUAUGUGUGGCGGAAUAUUGGUGUUUAUUUCUGAAGUCGGAAUGGUAGUAUUUUGAUUGUUGAAGUUUUUAUUUAUUUAUUUUUACUAGGAAUUAUCCAAGUUUCUCCAAAGCAUCCUGAUCGAGGCCUUGGAUUCCAAAGCAUCUACCCAGUCCUGUCUAGGAUUGCUGCUGUCCGAGCGCCCUCUGUUCUCCCACACUGCACAGGCGUGUACAGUUGACCUUUCACGUUGAUGUUGCAGCUGUCCUCAUUGAGCCCAGAAGCUCUAUAAAUCAUUGGCUAAAGAUGGUGCCUGGCAACAUUUUGUGUCUGUUCUUC